rnacentral:rRNA from 1 species
GACGAACCGUGCGAACGUUAUUCGGAAUCACUGGGCUUAAAGCGCGUGUAGGCGGGCCGGCACGUCGGUCGCUGAAAUCCCCCGGCUUAACCGGGGAACUGGCGUCGAUACGACCGCCCUGGAGGGGCGUAGGGGGACCUGGAACUUCCGGUGGAGCGGUGAAAUGCGUUGAGAUCGGAAGGAACGCCCGUGGCGAAAGCGAGGUCCUGGACGCCUACUGACGCUGAGACGCGAAAGCCAGGGGAGCGAACGGG